GAUUAAGUUAUUAAGGGCGCACGGUGGAUGCCUUGGCACUAGAAGCCGAUGAAGGACGUUACUAACGACGAUAUGCUUUGGGGAGCUGUAAGUAAGCUUUGAUCCAGAGAUUUCCGAAUGGGGAAACCCAACAUGAGUUAUGUCAUGUUAUCGAUAUGUGAAUACAUAGCAUAUCAGAAGGCACACCCGGAGAACUGAAACAUCUUAGUACCCGGAGGAAGAGAAAGAAAAUUCGAUUCCCUUAGUAGCGGCGAGCGAAACGGGAAGAGCCCAAACCAACAAGCUUGCUUGUUGGGGUUGUAGGACACUCUAUACGGAGUUAUAAAGGACGACAUUAGACGAAUCAUCUGGAAAGAUGAAUCAAAGAAGGUAAUAAUCCUGUAAUCGAAAAUGUUGUCUCUCUUGAGUGGAUCCUGAGUACGACGGAGCACGUGAAAUUCCGUCGGAAUCUGGGAGGACCAUCUCCUAAGGCUAAAUACUCUCUAGUGACCGAUAGUGAACCAGUACCGUGAGGGAAAGGUGAAAAGCACCCCGGAAGGGGAGUGAAAUAGAACCUGAAACCGUGUGCUUACAAGUAGUCAGAGCCCGUUAAUGGGUGAUGGCGUGCCUUUUGUAGAAUGAACCGGCGAGUUACGAUUUGAUGCAAGGUUAAGCAGUAAAUGUGGAGCCGUAGCGAAAGCGAGUCUGAAUAGGGCGUUUAGUAUUUGGUCGUAGACCCGAAACCAGGUGAUCUACCCUUGGUCAGGUUGAAGUUCAGGUAACACUGAAUGGAGGACCGAACCGACUUACGUUGAAAAGUGAGCGGAUGAACUGAGGGUAGCGGAGAAAUUCCAAUCGAACCUGGAGAUAGCUGGUUCUCUCCGAAAUAGCUUUAGGGCUAGCCUCAAGUGAUGAUUAUUGGAGGUAGAGCACUGUUUGGACGAGGGGCCCCUCUCGGGUUACCGAAUUCAGACAAACUCCGAAUGCCAAUUAAUUUAACUUGGGAGUCAGAACAUGGGUGAUAAGGUCCGUGUUCGAAAGGGAAACAGCCCAGGCCACCAGCUAAGGUCCCAAAAUAUAUGUUAAGUGGAAAAGGAUGUGGCGUUGCCCAGACAACUAGGAUGUUGGCUUAGAAGCAGCCAUCAUUUAAAGAGUGCGUAAUAGCUCACUAGUCGAGUGACACUGCGCCGAAAAUGUACCGGGGCUAAACAUAUUACCGAAGCUGUGGAUUGUCCUUUGGACAAUGGUAGGAGAGCGUUCUAAGGGCGUUGAAGCAUGAUCGUAAGGACAUGUGGAGCGCUUAGAAGUGAGAAUGCCGGUGUGAGUAGCGAAAGACGGGUGAGAAUCCCGUCCACCGAUUGACUAAGGUUUCCAGAGGAAGGCUCGUCCGCUCUGGGUUAGUCGGGUCCUAAGCUGAGGCCGACAGGCGUAGGCGAUGGAUAACAGGUUGAUAUUCCUGUACCACCUAUAAUCGUUUUAAUCGAUGGGGGGACGCAGUAGGAUAGGCGAAGCGUGCGAUUGGAUUGCACGUCUAACCAGUAAGGCUGAGUAUUAGGCAAAUCCGGUACUCGUUAAGGCUGAGCUGUGAUGGGGAGAAGACAUUGUGUCUUCGAGUCGUUGAUUUCACACUGCCGAGAAAAGCCUCUAGAUAGAAAAUAGGUGCCCGUACCGCAAACCGACACAGGUAGUCAAGAUGAGAAUUCUAAGGUGAGCGAGCGAACUCUCGUUAAGGAACUCGGCAAAAUGACCCCGUAACUUCGGGAGAAGGGGUGCUCUUUAGGGUUAACGCCCAGAAGAGCCGCAGUGAAUAGGCCCAAGCGACUGUUUAUCAAAAACACAGGUCUCUGCUAAACCGUAAGGUGAUGUAUAGGGGCUGACGCCUGCCCGGUGCUGGAAGGUUAAGAGGAGUGGUUAGCUUCUGCGAAGCUACGAAUCGAAGCCCCAGUAAACGGCGGCCGUAACUAUAACGGUCCUAAGGUAGCGAAAUUCCUUGUCGGGUAAGUUCCGACCCGCACGAAAGGCGUAACGAUUUGGGCACUGUCUCAACGAGAGACUCGGUGAAAUCAUAGUACCUGUGAAGAUGCAGGUUACCCGCGACAGGACGGAAAGACCCCGUGGAGCUUUACUGUAGCCUGAUAUUGAAAUUCGGCACAGCUUGUACAGGAUAGGUAGGAGCCUUUGAAACGUGAGCGCUAGCUUACGUGGAGGCGCUGGUGGGAUACUACCCUAGCUGUGUUGGCUUUCUAACCCGCACCACUUAUCGUGGUGGGAGACAGUGUCAGGCGGGCAGUUUGACUGGGGCGGUCGCCUCCUAAAAGGUAACGGAGGCGCUCAAAGGUUCCCUCAGAAUGGUUGGAAAUCAUUCAUAGAGUGUAAAGGCAUAAGGGAGCUUGACUGCGAGACCUACAAGUCGAGCAGGGUCGAAAGACGGACUUAGUGAUCCGGUGGUUCCGCAUGGAAGGGCCAUCGCUCAACGGAUAAAAGCUACCCCGGGGAUAACAGGCUUAUCUCCCCCAAGAGUUCACAUCGACGGGGAGGUUUGGCACCUCGAUGUCGGCUCAUCGCAUCCUGGGGCUGUAGUCGGUCCCAAGGGUUGGGCUGUUCGCCCAUUAAAGCGGUACGCGAGCUGGGUUCAGAACGUCGUGAGACAGUUCGGUCCCUAUCCGUCGUGGGCGUAGGAAAUUUGAGAGGAGCUGUCCUUAGUACGAGAGGACCGGGAUGGACAUACCUCUGGUGUACCAGUUGUCGUGCCAACGGCAUAGCUGGGUAGCUAUGUGUGGACGGGAUAAGUGCUGAAAGCAUCUAAGCAUGAAGCCCCCCUCAAGAUGAGAUUUCCCAACUUCGGUUAUAAGAUCCCUCAAAGAUGAUGAGGUUAAUAGGUUCGAGGUGGAAGCAUGGUGACAUGUGGAGCUGACGAAUACUAAUCGAUCGAAGACUUAAUCAA
rnacentral:rRNA from 1 species